AUCAGAGGAUAACAGAGCUGUCUUCAACAGCAAAUAUCACAUGGCUGAGGGCCAUGUGGUAAUAAUACUCUUCAGAGGUUCUAGAACUCUGAGGAUUUCAAAGGCGGAGAGUCUCAUCUGUGGGUCGGAACUGCUACAGAUUACAAGUCACGUCAGAAGAAGCCAGAGUCUUGAUAUGCCUUCUUUUGACAUGCGGGCCACUUACGAGGCCUGGAAAGGAGAAAUUAGCAUCAUCUAAAUGGAAGUCAUAUAUUUGGCAUGAAUUCAAUUCAAUAGACAUGAAUUGGGACUUCCUGUGUGUCAGUCUACAGCAGGUAUUGUGAGGAGGUGUAAAAAUACAUCAGAGAGUUCCUGCCCUCAGGGCUUUCAGACACUUUCUCAGUCAACCUCAGGGUUUGAAACAAGAGCCAGCACUCACCUGUCUGCAGAGACCAGGCUGCUAAGGGAAGUGGUAAGAAUCACAAGGGGUAUUGACAUGACGAAUCUUGGAAUCAUGACGUGCUUCUAAGAUGUGACCAUAGCCACCAUCAUCACCAUCCUCUUCAUCAUCAGCAUCACUACCACCUUUGGUCUGAGCUUAUGGGGCUCACCUGCUAGAAGGGCCCCCAUGAAGGGGAAGCCGAGCUGGGCUGAUAGAAAAAAAGGCAACUAAGGGCUGCUUAAGCAGGUAGAGGUGUCCCCUCCUCUUGGAAUAAAAGGCACCUUGAGGAGGCCAUUGCAGGUACCUCCUUGUGCAGUCUUAGGACUGUCUAGAGGCAGCCUGUCUCGGUCACAGAGCGAGUCCCUUAGAGACUGUGCUCACGUCUCCAGGUCUUUGUCCCAUCGGUUAGGGAGUUAGGGCUGCGUCCAAUUUUACAAUUCAAUACUGACCUGGGAGAGGGUUGGGGCUGAAAGAACAGGGUAGGCCUUGGGACCCCCCUGACUUCUUUCUUCUUCAUUAAUUUGGUCUAUUCACCUGAGGAUGGUGGUGGGGGGCACCUAUUGUCCCUUCACUUCCAAGAGGACAUUUUUAUGACUUUUAUUUCUUGAAAACUGUAAUUAUUGGAAAACAUGUCAAAGCAAAAAAAAAACAAAACAAAACACUACUUUUCAUGUUUUGUCAUUUCUUAGUAGCGAUUUCUCCAACAGAUGUGCUCUUCUCCCCGCUUCCUGCCCUCUGUCCUACCAUCCUUACUUCUGGCCUACAGCACCAUCUUAUCCAAGUUGAAUCACAUCUCUUGGAAAAGGAUGGACGUUCUCUGAAGCUAAGCUGCCCCUACUCUCCGAGAAUGACUUGGACCUGUCGUCCAAGGAGCUGGGCUCACUGGUGAAGUCCUUUCCAAGCAGUGACGUCUUCAACAUGAUGAGGAAAACAAGACUCUGAAGAUGGAGUAACUUGCCCCAAGUUACAACGCUUGAAAGUUGCAGAGUGAGGCGGCAGACUGCGGCUGUCUUCCAAAGUUCAAGUACUUGCUUCUCCCCAAUCUCCAGCACUGGAUAUAUUUAUUACUCAGUAGGACCUGGGUGUCUACUCCCUUUUACUUUUAACUCCUUUUUUGUCCUACAAGCAUCUCAACCCCAUGCAAAUGGAAAUGCUUGAGGGGAAUGCCAUGUCAAGGUCAUCACCGUGCCUUUCCACUUUCUUCCAGAUUAAAGGCAGGUUCCUAGUAGCAGCUGGUGCUCAGGAAAAUGUCUGGGGGGAUUAUAUGGAGAGUGAAUGAUCCAACCUGAGCUUUCCCACCCUGCAAUACAUUUUCGCUGCAUAAAUUCUCCAGGCUAAAAAUUACCUUUUUUACUCGGUAGCUGGCUUUCUUCUUCUCUCCUUCCCACAAUCAGUCAAAUUGAUAAAUUGAUAAAUUUACAUAAAGUGCUAAGGUCUCUGGAAGUAGCACCAGGCUUUAGCCACAGCUGCAGCUGUCCCCAGCUGGUGACCUGGCUCAAGUCCCUUUCCUUCAGGGCUUAGGCUCUUCGGAAAGUUCAGAGACUGGGCUAGAAGGUCUCUAGAGCUAAUGUGAACUCUGAUACUAAUCAUCAUUAGCACAUAGUAGGUGUUCAAUACUUACUGAAAAAUUACUACCAUCAUUUAGUGGGGAAUUAGAGUGCAGAGAGUAAUUCAUGGCCAAAGUAAGAUUCCAGCAUAUUCUGCUUCCAAAAUCAUUUGCUCAACGAUUGCACUCCGCUUUUUGCCAUGAGUAUCCAGAAUUCUAAAUAUAAAGUGCUUCUACUUCCAUUAAGAUGGUGUAGGCACAUUCCACCAUAGCUCUCUUACUGAUUAAAACUAAAAGCCCUGGACAGAAUACAUAAAACAACUAUCCAUGGACUCUGAAAAGUAUAAAAUAGCACAUGGAUUGAUCAAAACCAGUAAAAAUGACCAUUAUGGUACUGGGUUUCUUGAUUUUUUUCCUUCCUGUAUCUCCCAAUUUAGACUCAGGAGGACCUCAAAUCCUAGAAUCCUGUGCAGUAGAUGGAGAUAGAAAAAAGUCCAAGAGAAACCCUCUUUCUGGCCAGAAGACAUAAAACAGAGGCCUCUGUGGGACAGACAGUAUGGAGAGGGCCCCUUUUUUACUCUCUCAAGACCACACUUCCAAGGCAAGUCACAAAGCAGCUUACUCGUGUUAUCAGUGACUGUGGUGGUCACACAGGCACCUAAACAUCUGACACAGGGGCGCCUGGGUGGCUCAGUCGUUAAGCAUCUGCCUUCGGCUCAGGUCGUGAUCCCAGGGUCCUGGGAUGGAGUCCUGCAUCGGGCUCCCUGCUCUGCAGAAAGCCUGCUUCUC